GACGAACGCUGGCGGCGUGCUUAACACAUGCAAGUCGAACGGAAAGGCCCUGCUUUUGUGGGGUGCUCGAGUGGCGAACGGGUGAGUAACACGUGAGUAACCUGCCCUUGACUUUGGGAUAACUUCAGGAGACUGGGGCUAAUAUCGGAUAGGAUCUCCUGCUGCAUGGUGGGGGUUGGAAAGUUUCGGCGGUUGGGGAUGGACUCGCGGCUUAUCAGCUUGUUGGUGGGGUAGUGGCUUACCAAGGCUUUGACGGGUAGCCGGCCUGAGAGGGUGACCGGCCACAUUGGGACUGCGAUACGGCCCAGACUCCUACGGGAGGCAGCAGUGGGGAAUAUUGCACAAUGGGCGGAAGCCUGAUGCAGCAACGCCGCGUGCGGGAUGACGGCCUUCGGGUUGUAAACCGCUUUCGACUGUGACGAAGCGUGAGUGACGGUAAUGGGUAAAGAAGCACCGGCUAACUACGUG
rnacentral:rRNA from 1 species